GUUUUUUCUCUAUUUCUAUAGAUUGAACAUGAAUGAGAGAGGGCUUUUAGUUAAUUAAGGAACAUUACAAAAAUCUGUGAUACCAUUUAAUUACCAAGCACUGAUUGUAUUUCAUUCUUUCUGGAAAGUAGCUGUGUAUAUGGUCCUAAAGAAAACAAGAAAGUGCCUUUUCUUUCAUUGGGGACAGACAGUGUGUCGUUGCUAAAGAAAGAACUGGUAAGUAACAGUAUCAAUUAAAAAUAUUAAAUGUGGUGUCAGAAACUUCAAUUUCUUAAAUACUUACUUUCAGUGGGCUUAGUUUUAGAAAUGGCAGAAGCAGAUUAGCAAAAUUAAUGUAAAACUGAGUUUUCCAAUAGUUUUAAAAGUUGGCAUAAUACAAUUUAUUUAUACGUAUAUUUUAAUAAGAGAGUUAGUAGGUAUGGGAAGAUCGUCCAAUAAAUGAGAACGAAUUGCAGUUAAUUUUGAUGCUAAUGAAAGAACUGAUGCUUUUAAAAUUUCACCUUGCAUCAUUGGAUCAGAGAAGCUGAAGAUUAAUUUGGAAACCAUUAAAAUAACUGCAGUGUAUUUGGUUUGGUAAUCACGUGCAGACUAGAACGCCACAUUAUGUAGUUAAUUAAGAUCGACGGUGGAGAAGACAAAGAAGACCCUCGUAGUUAAA